rnacentral:misc_RNA from 1 species
CUCAUAAUAGUAAUAAUAAUAAGGGAUAAUCAAUGCUUCGUGCAUGCUGGCUACGGUACUGCGCCGCAGGCGCUGCGGCCGGGGGCAGUGGUGGAGUUCAGCCGUCUCCUCGCCAGGAUUCUGGGAACACUAGCGCUUCCGAGCAGCAAGCGAGGAGUGGCGGUAGGCGUCGCUACCGCAUUGAGAGUGGGUAUGACGGUGCGAAGAAUUACGACGAGCGCGGCCAGUUCUUCUCCGCCUUCCUCAGCCUCGGUAUCAUAUCGUUGGGGUGCACCUUUCUCUUCGUGCCUCUGUAUCGCAUGUACUGCGCCCCCACCGGCCGUGGCGCGGAUCCGAAGUUCUAUACCCCUGACGCGGCCCGCAAGCGCGAUGAGCAGAACAAGAGCUACCCGGUUCCCAAGAAGCUGCUGAAGGUCCGCUUCCUCAGUGACGUGGGCAACACGAUGCCCAUCGCCUUCGUCCCUCUGCAGAGGGAGGUGGAGGUGCUCGUUGGCGAGCCGGCGCUGGCUUUCUACUCCGCGUACAACCGCAGUAAUCGCACGCUGCUCGGCGUCUCAUCCUACACGAUCGCGCCACCGGAGGUGACGAACUACCUCAACAAGAUCCAGUGCUUCUGCUUCGAAGAGCAGCGUUUCAAGCCGCAUGAGUUAGUUGAGAUGCCCGUAUUCUUUUACAUCGAUCGCGACUUUCUGAAUGAUCCGAUGGUGAACUGGCUCGAUGAAGUGAUCGUCAACUACACCUUCUUCAACCUCGAAAAGACGAAGGACUACAUCUUCCGUUCCAACGCGCGGUAAACAGCGCGCGCAACGGUGGCAACGGAUGAUCACACGUGCAACCUUCGUCGCCAUCAUCGUUUCCUCCCCACGCUCUCCUUCCCCGUCGGCUGCUGCUGCGAUGGUAGUCGGUCGCCUUGAUGCUGGUGAUAGGGGAGGCGGAUGUGCGAGGUCAAUGCUGUGCGCGUUCUAGGGAGGGAAGGGUGGGGGGCGGCGAAGGGGCCGAACAGGAAAGGGGGAGCCAGACACGUCAGCACGUCACUGUGCCCUCGAGUGUCUAGUUUCGUGACGGCUGUUGCUCUAACUCCCUGACAGCCGUUAUACACUGUUUGCCCCUUGCCUUGUUGGUGGCGCUUUUGUGCGUAUCGCCGCUUCCUCUCCCACCCUCUUCUUUAGUGUGUAUGUGUAUGUGUGUUCGAGUUUGUUCGCCCACCGGCCCCGUCUGUGCACUCGGAUGCGGUGCUCUCUUGUUAUCGCUGUGGCCGUGUGCAUGUGUGACCUUCGUUUCCUCUGAGCCUUUUCUGUUAUGGCGGUUGUCGUCUCCGCCUCUCUUGCCAUGGUUGCAGUCAC